CCACAGAACUUUCCAGAGAUGGAUUGGUGCCUUCGGGAACUGUGAGACAGGUGCUGCAUGGCUGUCGUCAGCUCGUGUUGUGAAAUGUUGGGUUAAGUCCCGCAACGAGCGCAACCCUUAUCCUUUGUUGCCAGCGGUCCGGCCGGGAACUCAAAGGAGACUGCCAGUGAUAAACUGGAGGAAGGUGGGGAUGACGUCAAGUCGUCAUGGCCCUUACGACCAGGGCUACACACGUGCUACAAUGGCGCAUACAAAGAGAAGCGACCUCGCGAGAGCAAGCGGACCUCAUAAAGUGCGUCGUAGUCCGGAUUGGAGUCUGCAACUCGACUCCAUGAAGUCGGAAUCGCUAGUAAUCGUGGAUCAGAAUGCCACGGUGAAUACGUUCCCGGGCCUUGUACACACCGCCCGUCACACCAUGGGAGUGGGUUGCAAAAGAAGUAGGUAGCUUAACCUUCGGGAGGGCGCUUACCACUUUGUGAUUCAUGACUGGGGUGAAGUCGUAACAAGGUAACCGUAGGGGAACCUGCGGUUGGAUCACCUC
rnacentral:rRNA from 1 species